rnacentral:rRNA from 1 species
AUUGAACGCUGGCGGCAGGCCUAACACAUGCAAGUCGAGCGGAUGAGAGGAGCUUGCUCUUCGAUUCAGCGGCGGACGGGUGAGUAAUGCCUAGGAAUCUGCCCAGUAGUGGGGGACAACGUUUCGAAAGGAACGCUAAUACCGCAUACGUCCUACGGGAGAAAGUGGGGGAUCUUCGGACCUCACGCUAUUGGAUGAGCCUAGGUCGGAUUAGCUAGUUGGUAGGGUAAAGGCCUACCAAGGCGACGAUCCGUAACUGGUCUGAGAGGAUGAUCAGUAACACUGGAACUUAGACAAGGUCCAGACGCCUACGGGAGGCAGCAGUGGGGAAUAUUGGACAAUGGGCGCAAGCCUGAUCCAGCCAUGCCGCGUGUGUGAAGAAGGCCCUCGGGUCGUAAAGCACUUUAAGUUGGGAGGAAGGGCUUACAGCGAAUACCUGUGAGUUUUGACGUUACCGACAGAAUAAGCACCGGCUAACUUCGUGCCAGCCGCCGCAGUAA